GUCUACGGCCAUACCACCCUGAACGCGCCCGAUCUCGUCUGAUCUCGGAAGCUAAGCAGGGUCGGGGGCCCGGUUAGUACUUGGAUGGGAGACCGCCUGGGAAUACCGGGUGCUGUAGGCU
rnacentral:rRNA from 1 species